UACGAAGGGGGCUAGCGUUGUUCGGAAUUACUGGGCGUAAAGCGUAUGCAGGCGGAUCGCUAAGUCAGGGGUGAAAUCCCUGGGCUCAACCUCGGAACUGCCUCUGAUACAGCAAGUCUUGAGUCCGAUAGAGGUGGGUGGAAUUCCUAGUGUAGAGGUGAAAUGCGUAGAUAUUAGGAAGAACACCGGUGGCGAAGGCGGCCCACUGGAUCGGUACUGACGCUGAGGUGCGAAAGCGUGGGGAGCAAACAGG
rnacentral:rRNA from 1 species